CGGGAGGCAGCUGAGGCCUGGCGAGAAUUCCAGCGCAGCGCCGGCGGGUCGGCACUGCUGGCGGACCUGGCGCACCCUCCGCAGCUGCUGGCCCGGGUGCUAAGCCGCUCACUGCCUGGCGCCGGCGGCUCCGGCCAGCCGCUCUGAGUGCUGGGCCCGCCGAGCCCACGCCCACCCGGAACUCGCGCUGGCCAGCAAGCGCCGCGCGCAGCCCCGGUUCCCACCCGCGCCUCUCCCUCCACACCUCUGUGCAAGCUGAGGGAGCCGGCUCCGGCCUCGGCCAGCCCAGAAAAGGGCUCCCGCAGUGCAGCGGCGGGCUGAAGGGCUGCUGAAGCGCGGCAAGAGUGGGCGCCUAGGCCAAGGAGGCGCGGAGAGCGAGCGAGGCCUGUGAGUGCUGCCAGCACGCCGUCACCUCUCAAUAUGACUUAGGGAUCAUGGCUUAUUUGAGCUGUUGCUCCUCAGUGGACAUCAUAGGAUCUUGCAGAUGUGUAUCAAUCCUUCGCAAGUAGGUGCCCAGGAAGUCCUGGAACUGAGUCCUGGGGCAAGGUUCUGGAAGUUGGGACAAGAA
rnacentral:lncRNA from 1 species